UCCUAAUCUUGGAUAUCGAUGGGAAUAGAUUAUCUUAAAUUUCACUUUGGUCACUUGGCUAAGGCGUUCAAUAGCACUUUAAGCCAUUAAGAACAAACAUUUUACAAUUUCUCUGUGUAUAUGCAUUCCUCUGCUGAAUUUAGAGUGCCCCGAGAAGUGGCUGCAACAAAAUUGGAGGGAUUAGGUAAACGGCAGCAGAACAAACCGUUUUACAUGGCAAUUAUGCAGGAACAAGCCUGACCCAUGACGCCUGACCCUCGGAUCCUGGGCCGUGUAGAACUAGACCCAUUUCAGCAGUCAAUUCAAGGAUGAAGGACGAGAGUCCUGCAGGAGCAACAUGUGUGCACGCGCCGCUGCUCAUUGGAAAUUCAAUUUUCAAUAAAUGCACACAAAUUGAUUUCCAGCUCGGGGCCUUUCAAGCGGAGUUACGAAACACAAUCGCACGCACACAGCUGCUCCCGCACACACCUAUCUUCACUUGCACAGUCACGCAAUUCAUCGGCUGCGAAUCCGUAUCCGGGUCUGGGCAUGGCAAUGGCAAUGGGUAUGAUGGGGAUUCUGGGUGCCGUGUCCCGUAUCCCGUAUUCCAUAUCCCGGACAAGUGGGCUCCGGCGACGAGUGCGGCAUUAUUGCCUGUUGCUUUUGCCAGUGGCACUGCUACACCACAGCUGAUGUGGUCGGCCGUAAACAUGCGGCAGCGAAUGAGUGGGCGUGGGAUUCCGCCGGAGUGCACACUCCGUAUGCCGCACUCCCGUACCCCGUGCUCAAUACUCCUCCGCCGUACUCGACAGUAACGGGUCGUCGUCACACACAAGUAAUUGCAAUCAGCACCUUGGCAACAAGCAGCUGCGCCAAAAUGAGGGAGAAAAGAAGAAACUCGGCCACGGACGUAUUUAUUUAUAAAGCAACCCGUAACUCACGGUGCGUGCUGCCGUAUAUCUUAACACCUGAAUGCCAAACGAACUCUUGGAACUCAGCUCAAGCGAACGGAUUUAAAUUUAUUGUGUUAAAUGGUCAUCUGCCUGCCAUUUAUAUGCUAAUUAAGAAUUUUUAAUUGUAAUUUCUUUCGCACUCAGAGAAAAUCACAAUAGGAUAAGAUUAUAAAAGGAUUUUAUAUGAAGUAAUAUAUAAUCUUCUUACUUAUUUUUUAUUAUUUAUAUCAACUUUUAUGUAGUAGCACAUAUUUAA